AUACUUUUAGUUUAAAAAUAAAAACGUUAAGUUUUCGUCUUAGUAAUGUGUCUGACGCACAAAGUAGU
rnacentral:tRNA from 1 species